rnacentral:rRNA from 1 species
UACGGAGGGGGCUAGCGUUGUUCGGAAUUACUGGGCGUAAAGCGCACGUAGGCGGCUUGGUAAGUUAGAGGUGAAAGCCUGGAGCUCAACUCCAGAAUUGCCUUUAAGACUGCCGAGCUAGCAGGUGAGAGAGGUGAGUGGAAUUCCGAGUGUAGAGGUGAAAUUCGUAGAUAUUCGGAAGAACACCAGUGGCGAAGGCGGCUCACUGGCUCAUACUGGACGCUGAGGUGCGAAAGCAUGGGGAGCGAACAGG